rnacentral:lncRNA from 1 species
AUGGGAAAUUCAGGAAAUAAUCGCUUUCUUUUGAUACCCCCUCUUCUUCAUUUCCCCACCUCCCCCCCAAAAAGCAGGAAAGGCUUGGUGAGAAUAACGCAGACUGUGCCCAUGGAGCCUGGAGGAGCAGCAGAGAAGAGACAUCUGAGUGCUUUUGCUGUUUUCCGUAGGGAUGCCCUCAGAAACGGCCUUUAUUUUCUCUAAAUGACGGGAUGAUUUUCCUGUCUGUGAAGAUUGAGGACCAGAAGUGCUGUGUACUGCAGUCCCGUCCUUAUCCGCGGGCCAGACAUCAUAGCAGUCUGUCGUAUCGCUCUGCUGAGCCUGGACGCGGAGCUAAAGGGAACAAACUGAACAGCCCGUGAUGGAUUGACUUCUAUUAGAUUCUUCAGGCAUCACCAUCAGUGUGAACUCCAUUUAAGUAACACCGUCAGAGACUUAAUUUAUUAUAUAAUUGAUAAGAAAUAUCACCUACGAAGCCUAGACAAUGAAAGUGACUUCCACAGGAAAUAUUUUGCUAAGAGACAGCGACAUGGGAAUGCGCUGGAGGCAGAAAAUUGAGUUAUGGAAUAAAUAGGUAAAAAAUAAUUCUUCGCA